CUAAGCUAGGCUGGUGAGGGGAUAGGCUAUUAGAGCCAAGUGUGUUGUCCUGAUUUUUAGGGAUGACAUGGGAAAGGAGAAGAUGCCACAUGUCCAAUUGAUUCAGGGACGUGUUAUGGCGUGGAUGGUCGUAACCUCAUACUCGAGUUACGGUUCUUCGGGGGAAAGUCGAAGGCAACUGAAGGUUAUGGAGAGAGGUGCACCAUAGUAGUUAAUUUCGAAAGGCUAAAGGAGCCGGUGGUCCGUAGGCCAUCAGUAUUUAAUGGUCGUAGGGACGGAUUGAGGGUGGGGGUAGUGGGGUACUUGCCCCCGUUGACCUUCAAAAGUAGAUGUAUAUGUUAGAAUAUGAUCCUGGUAAACCCUCCUCCUAACACCUUGAGGUUUUAGGAGAAUUGGUCACUUAACAGUAUAUUUCUACUGCCCCUCCAGGUUCGAUAUUUGAAUUUCCCCUCCAGGUUCAAUAUUUGAAGACAGUUAUUAUAACUGAUUUUUUGCCCCUCAUCCUUUCCUUUAGCCAAAUCUCCUCUUCCUUUCCAUUCCCUCUAUGUUAUAUUUUGCCUUUCCCUCUAUCCUAUAUUUUGCCCCCACUACUUCCAAAUUCUAGCUCCGUCCCUGAAUGUUCGCAAUAUGAACUAAAUUUAGCUGUACAUCUAAACAAUGUGUAAAGCCAUAUAAUUACUACACAAUGCUGAUUUUCCUACACUUUCAGAUCUUAAAGAAGCAUGUCAAUCUUUGAUCAACACUCUGCACCCACAUUGUCAACCUAGCCAUUGUAGUUCUAAGAAGAUUCUCAACCUUUGUAUAUUGAUUCAGAGUUAAUCUACUCUCUGAAGUAAAUGCCAUUCGGCGAUUCAGGUAGGUUUCAUUCGGUGCAAGGCUUUGUUGUCAUUUACCUUGCGCGUUAGAUACUAAUGCUAAGUUGAACUGAUGCUACUUAUUGGAUGUUAUGUUGCUGAGAAUCUUUGACAUGUUUAUAUAAAUUUGUUAUUCAGUGACAUCCUACAGGAGUUUCGUCCUAGGGCCACCAGAUGUAUUGUUUCGAAUCAAUCCAUUUAUAGUGGUAAAAUUUAACUCUAUAUGUCUAUCUGCUUUGGUUUCUAUAAAACAUGGUAGUCACAGAUUAAUGAAAAAAACUUUAGUUGAUCACAGACUGAUAGGUGAUUAUAUGUCCUGCAACAUGUUCUGCUUAUAUUUCGCAACAAUUUGUAAGCAGAGCGUUAUAACAAUCUGUAAGCAGAACGUGUUUUAGGACAUACAACACUUCAAUUAGUACUCCAUAGAACUAUAGAAGGGUACUCCGCUGAAUAAAAAGACGGAAAGAAUGAUGACUGCUAUGAAAACAUUAGACAAUAUAUUUACCAGCAAUCAGUAGGAACAGUCUGGUAUAUAGAUAGGCAAAGAUGGAUAUGCAGUAAAAGUUUCUUAAAUUAACACAAAAUUAACUCCUACAGCGAGUAAUGGCACUACAGCCACGGUCAUAGGGGUUAGCUUCGGCACCUUGUUCACAGUUGUAGUAGGAGGCACCCCUUUGAGAGCAAGGAACAUUGUUCCUCUCCAGUGCAUCAUAGCUUAUAUAAUCUGUAGUGGCUAGUAUGCGUCGGUUGCUCUCUGAAUCCAUAUUGAAUUCCUCGCCUAUCGUGCUGCAGUCCCCUACAGACCCUGUGCAGGAUCGCUUCAUAGGCAUCCAGCUGUCGCCACCAGCAGCUACCAUGACCGGGGAUGAGAUGAGGAUUGUUGUAAGAAAUAAAGCGGAGACAAUAGUGAAAUGGAAGAGAAAGUAAGGCGCCAUCGUUUUCAUUACCAAAAUGUGGUUUGUUUCUUCUUCUAGCUCUAAGCUUGUUUAAGAGGAAAUGAAGAGAUUGCAGGCCUGUUGAAAUAUUCCAGGUAGUUUUAGUUUAAAAGGUUGUGCUUGUUUCUAGUGGUAUUCUUCUCAUUAGAAUUCUUUAUAGAGACCAUUUACAUGUUCAAGUUUGACUGGUCCUCUCUGCUUAAGGAACUCAUGACACGACGACGUAUACUGUAAGGAGUACAGGUAUAGUCUGCGUACAUCUCACCCGAAUAGUUUUAUUAGUCAGAUGUAAACUAGACAAUAAGAAAGCAUAGCCGGCGCCUAGAUGAUUGGGUAAAUACACGAG
rnacentral:lncRNA from 1 species